rnacentral:rRNA from 1 species
GACGAACGCUGGCGGCGUGCUUAACACAUGCAAGUCGAGCGGUAAGGCCCUUUCGGGGGUACACGAGCGGCGAACGGGUGAGUAACACGUGGGUGACCUGCCCUUAGCUCUGGGAUAAGCCUGGGAAACUGGGUCUAAUACCGGAUAUGACCUCAUGACGCAUGUUGUGGGGUGGAAAGCCUUGUGCGGCUAGGGAUGGGCCCGCGGCCUAUC